rnacentral:misc_RNA from 1 species
GAUGAAGAACGCAGCGAAAUGCGAUAAGUAAUGUGAAUUGCAGAAUUCAGUGAAUCAUCGAAUCUUUGAACGCACCUUGCGCUCCUUGGUAUUCCGAGGAGCAUGCCUGUUCGAGCGUCAUUAUAACCCCUCAAGCUCAGCUUGGUGUUGGGGCCUGCUGCACUGGCAGCCCUUAAAAUCAGUGGCGGCGCCAUCUGGCUCUAAGCGUAGUAAUUCUUCUCGCUAUGGAGUCCUGGUGGAUGCUUGCCAUCAACCCCCAAUUUUUCUAUGGUUGACCUCGGAUCAGGUAGGGAUACCCGCUGAACUUAAGCAUAUCAAUAAGCGGAGGA